rnacentral:rRNA from 1 species
AGCUCUCCGAGUGGUAGGGACAAUUAUUGGGCUUAAAGCGUCCGUAGCCGGCUUGGCAAGUCUUCUGUUAAAUUCAGCGACUUAAUCGUUGAGCCGCGGGAGAUACUACUAGGCUAGGAGGCGGGAGAGGCCGACGGUAUUCCCGGGGUAGGGGUGAAAUCCUAUAAUCCCGGGAGGACCACCAGUGGCGAAGGCUGUCGGCUAGAACGCGCUCGACGGUGAGGGACGAAAGCUGGGGGAGCGAACCGGAUUAGAUACCCGUGUAGUCC